UCAGUUAGGACUUCUGAUCACGCUCCAGUGAGGGAAUUAAGGACGGCACAUUGUCCUUGUAAUGGGGAUCCAGCAGGGUGGCCACCGAGUAAUCAGCACAAGUUAGAAUGUGGGCAACUUGGCAGUCGAUAACCUCAGGCCGAUCGCACGUCCCCAUGACGGCGACGACGCAUUCAGAUGUCUGCCCUAUCAACUUUCGAUGUUACUUUCCACGCCUACCAUGGUGACCAUGGGUAACGGAGAAUCAGGGUUCGAUUCUG